UGUGCUAAGAAUGAUACAGGUAUAGCUCUAAAGAAUGUAGCAUCAUGGGCAGUGUAGUCCAUGCUGCAGAGAGCAUGGACUGCCAUACUCGUUAUGUGUCUGUGAACGCGAGGAGGGAGAAAAAGACUCAUCUGCUGCAGUUUGAUUGACUAAAAGGCAUGCUGGAAUCCAUGCUUUAAAUUUGGUGUCACAAUUUGGACACUCUUCCUGCUCAACAUUUCUGCAACUGCCUCAGAUGAGCAGAAGAGACUCAGAAACUUUUUGCUAUGAAGAAGCAGUGCUAACCACUGCACCAUAGGAUUUAACCAUCAAUACAUUUUGACUGUGCAGAGAUUCAUACCUGUAAUCUCACUAUGGAACACCUAAUGAGACAUACGUGUGCAUGGGUUUUCUCCAGGUGCUCCAGCUUCCUAUUACAGCCCAAAGACAUGCUUGGGGUUAGCAUAUCUGUUUAACUGGUCAUUCUAAAUUAGAAUCAUCAAAUCGAUGUGAAUGUGAGCUUGUCUUUAUUUAAUAGCCUUGUGAUAGACUGGUGAUCUGUCCAAUAUGACAGCCUAUGACAGCUGGGACAGCUUCAGCUACUGUGUAUUAGCUAAAGCAUGUUAAUGUGACCUCACGUUAAUACAGAAUGAGUAUCUGUUUUAGACCCUUAGCAUCCUUAGCACAUGUCACUCCCUGGCUCUGCUGUCCUGUCUGUACUUUUUAAUUUUGAAUGCAAUUGUCAGGUUUAAUGAUGAGUGAAGACCUCAAAUGCAGACUCAUAAGCAGACAGGGACUGAAUGAGGAUAGACCUUUUAUUGAAGGUGUAACUGAAACCCAAAAGCAAAAUAGCAAAGUCCAUGAAUAAACAUAAGAAACUCUAGGGAUAAUUCCAGGAGCUCAGAAACAACAGUAUGGUGCAACAAAGACCUGAAACAAAACAAGGGUAUAAAUACACACGAGGUGAUGAGGGCAGAGCGGAAACACCUUGGGAACUACACACAGCUAAACUAAAUCUGAGACUGAGACAUGGGGAAGUAAACUCAAAACACAAGGAAACAUGUCUAUCAAAAUACCAGAUGAAGUAAGUAAACAGGAGGCAGGGUCAACAGAAAGAAUGAUACUAAAAACACAAAAACACUGGGUCAAAGAACCAGGACUGUCACAAUAUGAGCAUAAUACUCAAACUUUAGGUAUGUUCUUUGUGUAUGUAGCACAUAUGUAAACAGACACAAUGACACUUCCUGGCAUCUCAUGGAUAACUCUUUUAACACACCUUUUGCAUUGUUUAGUGCAGAAACUUGUGACUCCAGAGCCACAUGAGGUCUUGACCUUGGUCAUUUGGGUGAAAAUCCAUUAGGUGAUCAUUGUGUGUAAAUUUCACUCAAAUCUGACCAAU